CACUGCGGUGGCCUAGUGGUUAAAGCGUUCGCCUCGGAUGCAGGAGGUCGCGGGUUAGAACCCCAGCUGAGUCA